UACAGAGGGGGCGAGCGUUGUUCGGAAUCACUGGGCGUAAAGCGCACGUAGGCGGACUUUCAAGUCAGGGGUGAAAUCCCGGGGCUCAACCUCGGAAUUGCCUUUGAUACUGUAGGUCUCGAGUCCGGAAGAGGUGGGUGGAAUUCCUAGUGUAGAGGUGAAAUUCGUAGAUAUUAGGAAGAACACCGGUGGCGAAGGCGGCCCACUGGUCCGGUACUGACGCUGAGGUGCGAAAGCGUGGGGAGCAAACAGG
rnacentral:rRNA from 1 species